AUAUCACAUUGUGACAUAGAGCUAGACCAUUGGGUUACUAGUAGCUAUUACCAUGUUUGAGACAUGAGGGUUGGAUACUUGAGCCUUUGACUACGCUUGCUUGCCAUUUGUGCUCAUUCGCACAUGCUUGUGAGGGUCGCUCCCUACAAGCUGGCACUCCGGAGUUAGCCUACGCGACCUAUGUUCGAGCGUGCGGUAUUGAGAAGCCUACGGGGUCAAGUGGGACAGACACAUUCCAAGAGCAGGAAUGUCGGGCUACCACAGGCACUUAGGCGGCACAAGCUGGACUACCUUGGGUAGGUCCUUAAUUGGAAAUGGAAAUCGACACGGUGUUGAGUGUGUUAUAAUCACUACUAGAUAGAGAGUAGUAGUUGGAUUACUUGGACUUGAUUCUAGUAUUGUCACGCCCCGGGACUGAUACCAAUUUGGCUCGACCCGAGCACGUCAAACAGACGCCGAACGGACAGAGUUUCCCCUAUCCGCCCAAGACUCAUCACAUGUAUAUUUUCAUCAAUAGAGAAAAGCACUAGCGGAAACAUACACAAAUGGCUUACACGAGGGUAAGCAAUAGCCACGAGUGAAAGAUAGGAAACUAGCAUUCAUUUUGUACUAUGAUUCAAUUUAGAUCAUAUAUAUUACAUUCAUCUUGUACAUUUUCGAAUUCCUUACAUUUCAUUUCAUCAUUUCUUUCUUACAUCACAUUUGCUCAUAAUAAAACUUUACAUUUUUUUCUUUACAUCAUUUCUCAUCAAGAACAAAACAU
rnacentral:lncRNA from 1 species